GAUCAUUACUGAGUUACCGCUCUAUAACCCUUUGUGAACAUACCUAACCGUUGCUUCGGCGGGCAGGGGAAGCCUCUCGCGGGCCUCCCCUCCCGGCGCCGGCCCCACCACGGGGACGGGGCGCCCGCCGGAGGAAACCAAACUCUAUUUACACGACGUCUCUUCUGAGUGGCACAAGCAAAUAAUUAAAACUUUUAACAACGGAUCUCUUGGUUCUGGCAUCGAUGAAGAACGCAGCGAAAUGCGAUAAGUAAUGUGAAUUGCAGAAUUCAGUGAAUCAUCGAAUCUUUGAACGCACAUUGCGCUCGCCAGCAUUCUGGCGAGCAUGCCUGUUCGAGCGUCAUUUCAACCCUCAAGCACCGCUUGGUUUUGGGGCCCCACGGCACACGUGGGCCCUUAAAGGUAGUGGCGGACCCUCCCGGAGCCUCCUUUGCGUAGUAACUAACGUCUCGCACUGGGAUCCGGAGGGACUCUUGCCGUAAAACCCCCCAAUUUUUUACAGGUUGACCUCGGAUCAGGUAGGAAUACCCGCUGAACUUAAGCAUAUCAAUAAGCGGAGGAAAAAC
rnacentral:rRNA from 1 species